rnacentral:rRNA from 1 species
UGAUAUUUAUAGCGCAGUAGAUCCACUCCGAUCCAUCCCGAACUCGGUUGUUAAAUGCUGCAGCGGCGAUAAUACUAGAGAAGAAAUUGUCUGGAAAAGUAGCUCAAUAUCAGAACU